rnacentral:lncRNA from 1 species
GAGAACAAAGCUUGUAAACUAUUAUCAUUUGACAAUCUCAUGGUUUGAGAGGAAAAAAUACAAAGAACUUCCUAAUUUUCUUUAUUUCGGAGCGAUCCUAGAUUCGAUCGAUUUUACAUUGGAUCAUUUCUUCGUCUCUUUCUCCUGUGCUUUGGCCGGCGGCUUCUGCUGGGCAGAAUGCUACAAAGAAUCAAUCCCCAAAACAGAGAAUUAGGGCUGUGGGUUGGAUGGAGCGCUUACCAGCAGCAAUCCAGCGGCGACCGAGACGCCCAGCACAGCCGAGAAGGCAGCUGCGGUGCCCGUGAGGAGAUUCCACCGUCUGAAGAUCAUCGCUCCCGCGAAGAGCCCUAAAA